AGCAAUACACCAGUGGCGGACGGGUGAGUAAUGUAUCGCUAACGUGCCCCGGAUUCCGGGAUAGCUGCCCGAAAGGGCAGGUAAUACCGGAUGACAUAUCCUUUUCGCAUGAAGAGGAUCUCAAAGGGAAACCGUUCUGGGAGCGGGCGAUAUCGUAUCAGCUAGUUGGUAGGGUAACGGCCUACCAAGGCGACGACGCGUAGCCGGACUGAGAGGUUGGCCGGCCACAUUGGGACUGAGACACUGCCCAGACUCCUACGGGGGGCUGCAGUAACGAAUCUUCCGCAAUGCACGCAAGUGUGACGGAGCGACGCCGCGUGUGGGACGAAGUCCUUCGGGAUGUAAACCACUGUCAGGGGUUAGAAAGUUCUGAUCAACCCCAGAGGAAGGCACGGCUAACUCUGUGCCAGCAGCCGCGGUAAGACAGAGGUGCCAAGCGUUAGGCGGAAUCACUGGGCUUAAAGCGUGUGUAGGUGGACAGGUAAGUACUUUGUGAAAUCCCACGGCUCAACCGUGGAACUGCUUGGUAUACUGCCGGUCUUGAGCAACCUAGGGGCGAGCGGAACAAAUGGUGGAGCGGUGAAAUGCGUAGAUAUCAUUUGGAACGCCAAUGGUGAAAACAGCUCGCUGGGGGUUUGCUGACACUGAGACACGAAAGCCAGGG
rnacentral:rRNA from 1 species